rnacentral:sRNA from 1 species
GAGAUGUCAGGUGGAGCGGCACGGGGUGACGCUCCCUCCUUCCCAGCAGGAGCCUGCCCAGGAGGAGCUGGUGGCAGAGGAGGACCAGGACCCGUCGGAACUGAAUCCCCAGACAGAAGAAAGCCAGGAUCCUGCGCCUUUCCUGAACCGACUAGUUCGGCCUCGCAGAAGUGCACCUAAAGGCCGGAAAACACGGGCUCGAAGAGCGAUCGCAGCCCAUUAUGAAGUUCAUCCACGACCUGGACAGGACGGAGCGCAGGCAGGUGUGGACGGGACAGUGAGUGGCUGGGAGGAAGCCAGAAUCAACAGCUCCAGCCCUCUGCGCUACAACCGCCAGAUCGGGGAGUUUAUAGUCACCCGGGCUGGGCUCUACUACCUGUACUGUCAGGUGCACUUUGAUGAGGGGAAGGCUGUCUACCUGAAGCUGGACUUGCUGGUGGAUGGUGUGCUGGCCCUGCGCUGCCUGGAGGAAUUCUCAGCCACUGCGGCGAGUUCCCUCGGGCCCCAGCUCCGCCUCUGCCA